rnacentral:rRNA from 1 species
CAGCCGCCUCGGUAACACGAGGGGGGCAAGCGUUGUUCGGAAUUAUUGGGCGUAAAGGGCGCGUAGGCGGUUUGGCAAGUUAGAUGUGAAAGCCCUGGGCUCAACCUAGGAAUUGCAUUUGAUACUGUUUGGCUUGAGUUCGGGAGAGGUGUGGAAUUCCCAGUGUAGAGGUGAAAUUCGUAGAUAUUGGGAAGAACACCAGUGGCGAAGGCGGCUCACUGGACCGACACUGACGCUGAGGCGCGAAAGCGUGGGGAGCAAACAGAAUUAGAUACCCCUGUAGUCCCUGUCUCUUAUACAA